rnacentral:lncRNA from 1 species
UAUAAAUAAAUGGGGUGUAAUAACUUUUAUGUUAAAAUGAGUUUUGUAAUGGUGAAUUUUUGGAAAAUUUGUGAUUAAAUAGUAGGAAAAGGUUUUUGGUUUACAUGUAAAACAUUUUAUUGAAAGAAUAUGUGGUUAAAAGUGAGUUUGGAAAAAAUUGAGUUUUUGGUUAAUGGGACUCAGACAAGGGGUAAGUAGAAACUACUAUGGCAUUAAAUGGGUGCAGUAGCAUUGCAUAUCUACUGCAGAUU